rnacentral:rRNA from 1 species
UACAGAGGGUGCAAGCGUUAAUCGGAUUUACUGGGCGUAAAGGGCGCGUAGGUGGUUAUUUAAGUGAGAUGUGAAAGCCCCGGGCUUAACCUGGGAAUGGCAUUUCAUACUGGAUAGCUAGAGUAUAGCAGAGGAAAGUGGAAUUUCCGGUGUAGCGGUGAAAUGCGUAGAUAUCGGAAAGAACAUCAGUGGCGAAGGCGGCUUUCUGGGCUAAUACUGACACUGAGAAACGAAAGCCAGGGGAGCAAACGGG